GAUCCUGGCUCAGAUUGAACGCUGGCGGCAUGCCUUACACAUGCAAGUCGAACGGUAGAGUAGCAAUACUUGAGAGUGGCGAACGGGUGAGUAAUAUAUCGGAACGUGCCCAGUCGUGGGGGAUAACGUAGAGAAAUUUACGCUAAUACCGCAUACGAUCUAAGGAUGAAAGCGGGGGAUCGCAAGACCUCGCGCGAUUGGAGCGGCCGAUAUCAGAUUAGGUAGUUGGUGAGGUAAAGGCUCACCAAGCCAACGAUCUGUAGCUGGUCUGAGAGGACGACCAGCCACACUGGAACUGAGACACGGUCCAGACUCCUACGGGAGGCAGCAGUGGGGAAUUUUGGACAAUGGACGCAAGUCUGAUCCAGCCAUUCCGCGUGCAGGAUGAAGGCCCUCGGGUUGUAAACUGCUUUUGUACGGAACGAAAAGGUUUCUAUUAAUCCUAGGAGCUCAUGACGGUACCGUAAGAAUAAGCACCGGCUAACUACGUG
rnacentral:rRNA from 1 species